ACGGAGUCAUUCGUCACAGUAGUCAAGCUUCAAGCGCUACUACUACGAGUGUUAAACAAAAUAGUUUCUUCGACAUCCUCAAAAACAGCAGAAACACCCUUCUUUGUCAAAGAGGAAAAACCCCGUAGUAGUUCUUCGUCAAACUCUCGUGCUAAAGUUACUCUGAGCAGCGAUUUUAUGAAAUCUGGCCCCAGUGGGUCCAAAAAGGUGCAGGCAGUAGAGAGAUUACAUUUAACGUGCGGUUAGACACCACAGGGGCUGCGCUGACGGCGAAGCUCGCUGAGUGCGAGACGGUCGACACGUUGAAAACGCUCAUUCAUGCUCAAUUCGAAAUCCCUCCUUGUCAGCAAAAACUAAAAGGAUGGCCAAAAUGUCCAUCUGACGGUGCAAAGUUGGGCUCUUUGGGUCUUCCUGACGAAAUAAACUUGUCUCUUUUCACAAACGGUCCAGCCAUGGACUUUACAGGGGCUGGGACUAGCAGCAGUAGCAAUAGUGUCGGAAAAACUGAAGAUAAAUAU